ensembl:piRNA 21ur-1383 ncRNA
UGCUUAUAUCGUUCACAGAAC